CUAGUAUUUCCUUCGUUCGAAAAUACUUGUCAUCAAAAUGAAUAAAAAGAGAUGUAUCUAGACUUAAAAUACAUCUACAUACAUCCCCUUUUCUCCAUUUUGAUGACAAGUAUUUCCGGACGGAGGGAGUAUUUA
rfam:Triticum aestivum genome assembly, contig: Triticum_aestivum_CS42_TGACv1_scaffold_557316_7AL